rnacentral:rRNA from 1 species
UACGUAGGUGGCAAGCGUUGUCCGGAUUUACUGGGCGUAAAGAGCGCGCAGGCGGUCGUUCAAGUCGAGUGUGAAAGCCCCCGGCUCAACUGGGGAGGGUCAUUCGAUACUGAUCGACUCGAAGGCAGGGGAGACUGGAAUUCCUGGUGUAGCGGUGAAAUGCGCAGAUAUCAGGAGGAACACCGGUGGCGAAGGCGGGUCUCUGGGCCGAUACUGACGCUGAGGAGCGAAAGCGUGGGGAGCGAACAGG